rnacentral:lncRNA from 1 species
AGUACAUGCACUGAAGAUGAUUUGAACAAUAUUAUGGAAUUAUGUAAUUUCGCUUUAGGAAUUCAGUCGGUUAUUAGCUUCAGAGUGGAUUUCUGUACGACAAAAGAAAGGAAAAUAAAAUACACAACAGCUGAAAUUGUUAGCAUGUAUGUAUCUUGCUCAAAAUAUUUAACACAAGUAUAUCUCGCUAUAACAUCCUAUUUGAAUAAGAAUAUUUCUGCGUUAAGCGAAAGUACAUUAUGUGAGUAUAACAAUUAUAUUAUAAAUAGGUUAUUAUAACCCUAGAUGUCCAAGUUAAACUAAAGUUUAAC